GNUGAACGCUGGCGGCGUGCUUAACACAUGCAAGUCGAACGGAGUUUCUUGGAUAGAGGUUUCGGCCAAUUGAAUUGAAACUUAGUGGCGGACUGGUGAGUAACGCGUGAGGAACCUGCCUUUCAGAGGGGGGACAACAGUUGGAAAACGACUGCUAAUACCGCAUGACACAUUCGAGUGGCAUCACUUGAAUGUCAAAGAUUUUAUCGCUGAAAGAUGGCCUCGCGUCUGAUUAGCUAGUUGGUGAGGUAACGGCUCACCAAGGCGACGAUCAGUAGCCGGACUGAGAGGUUGAUCGGCCACAUUGGGACUGAGAUACGGCCCAGACUCCUACGGGAGGCAGCAGUGGGGAAUAUUGGGCAAUGGACGCAAGUCUGACCCAGCAACGCCGCGUGAAGGAAGAAGGCUUUCGGGUUGUAAACUUCUUUUACCAGGGACGAAGGACGUGACGGUACCUGGAGAAAAAGCAACGGCUAACUACGUG
rnacentral:rRNA from 1 species